UGGCUCAGGAUGAACGCUGGCGGCGUGCCUAACACAUGCAAGUCGAACGGUGUAAUGGNNGAANUUNUCGGACAGAUAUCAUUACAUAGUGGCGGACGGGUGAGUAACGCGUGGAGAACCUGCACUGUACUGGGGGAUAGCAGCUGGAAACGGCUGGUAAUACCGCAUGAGACCACGGGAGGGCAUCCUCCUGAGGCAAAAGAUUUAUCGGUACAAGGAUGGAUCCGCGUUUGAUUAGCCAGUUGGCGGGGUAAC
rnacentral:rRNA from 1 species